GACGAACGCUGGCGGCGUGCUUAACACAUGCAAGUCGAACGGAAAGGCCCUGCUUUUGUGGGGUGCUCGAGUGGCGAACGGGUGAGUAACACGUGAGUAACCUGCCCCUGACUUUGGGAUAACUUCAGGAAACUGGGGCUAAUACCGGAUAGGAGCUCCUGCUGCAUGGUGGGGGUUGGUAAGGUUCGGCGGUUUGGGAUGGACUCGCGGCUUAUCAGCUUGUUGGUGGGGUAGUGGCUUACCAAGGCUUUGACGGGUAGCCGGCCUGAGAGGGUGGCCGGCCAGAUUGCACCUGGGAUGCGGCCCAGACUACUACGGUACGCAGCAGUGGAGAAUAUUGCACUGUGGGCGGAAGCCUGAUGCAGCAACGCCGCGUGCGGGAUGACGGCCAUCGGGUUGUAAACCGCUUUCGCCUGUGACGAAGAGUUAGUGACGGUAAUGGAUAAAGAAGCACCGGCUAACUACGUG
rnacentral:rRNA from 1 species